CAGCCGCCGCGGUAAUACGAAGGGGGCUAGCGUUGUUCGGAAUCACUGGGCGUAAAGCGCACGUAGGCGGACUUUUAAGUCAGGGGUGAAAUCCCAAGGCUCAACCUUGGAACUGCCUUUGAUACUGGAAGUCUUGAGUUCGGGAGAGGUGAGUGGAACUGCGAGUGUAGAGGUGAAAUUCGUAGAUAUUCGCAAGAACACCAGUGGCGAAGGCGGCUCACUGGCCCGAUACUGACGCUGAGGUGCGAAAGCGUGGGGAGCAAACAGGAUUAGAUACCCCUGUAGUCCCUGUCUCUUAUAC
rnacentral:rRNA from 1 species